GAGGAGACGCUGGCGGCGUGGAUUAGGCAUGCAAGUCGAACUGUAUCAUCCGUUCGGGGGUGAGAGAGUGGCGAACUGGUGAGUAACACGUAGGUUAUCUACCCUCAGGACGGGGACAACCCAGGGAAACUUGGGCUAAUACCGGAUGUGAGCAACUUUUAGUUGUUUGAAAGGUGGCGUAAGCUGUCGCUUGGGGAUGAGCCUGCGUCCUAUUAGUUAGUUGGUGAGGUAACGGCUCACCUAGGCAAUGAUAGGUAGGCGGCCUUAACGGGUGGUCGCCCACACUGGGAUUGAGAUACGGCCCAGACUCCUACGGGAGGCAGCAGUCGAGAAUAGUCUACAAUGGUCGGAAGACUGAUAGUGCGACGCCGCGUGAACGAUGAAUCCCUUCGGGGUGUAAAGUUCUUUUAUAUGUGAGCAGUGCUUCUUAUAUUAACAGUAUGGGGAGAGAGAUAUUAGCAUAUGAAUAAGCAACGGCUAACUCCGUG
rnacentral:rRNA from 1 species